UGGGGAAUAUUGGACAAUGGGCGAAAGCCUGAUCCAGCCAUGCCGCGUGUGUGAAGAAGGUCUUCGGAUUGUAAAGCACUUUAAGUUGGGAGGAAGGGCAGUAAGUUAAUACCUUGCUGUUUUGACGUUACCAACAGAAUAAGCACCGGCUAACUUCGUGCCAGCAGCCGCGGUAAUACGAAGGGUGCAAGCGUUAAUCGGAAUUACUGGGCGUAAAGCGCGCGUAGGUGGUUUGGUAAGAUGGAUGUGAAAUCCCCGGGCUCAACCUGGGAACUGCAUCCANAACUGCCUGACUAGAGUACGGGAGAGGGUGGUGGAAUUUCCUGUGUAGCGGUGAAAUGCGUAGAUAUAGGAAGGAACACCAGUGGCGAAGGCGACCACCUGGACUGAUACUGACACUGAGGUGCGAAAGCGUGGGGAGCAAACA
rnacentral:rRNA from 1 species